UUGAGUUAUUUUGUUUUUCUCCAGGUGGCUUGAAACUAAAAGAAGGGGAUUUGCAGAUGAAACAAGAAUAUAGAUACAGAAGAUAGCUACAUCACUUAUGAGAGAAAAAAACAGGCCUCAUUUGAGAGAGCUAUGUGGGAAGCCAAGUCCUCAGAUGAGAUCCAGAACUGAAUGAAGGAAAAGAUGUUGCAAGGACUCUCAUGAAGAGAUUCGGGAUACAGGUUUGUUUGCUGAUCAAAGUGUGGGGAUUCAGGAGGGUGCAGUGUGAUGAAGUGAUGAGAGUAACAGAUCUCAUGUGGCUCAUACAGGAAGACAUUCAGUUCUAGUGACCUCCUCUUGAGUUCUUUCCUUGAUGGCAUAUCACUGAUGGAUGUCAUAAUGAAAGUAGUAGAGUGUAUCCUCUCAGGUUACUUUUGAUUCCAUUCCCAGUAUGGAUCCCAAUAAAGUGGCCAAUAUUAGAAGGCAGAAGGAACACUCUACUUUAGGUCUGAUUAUUUCCAGAAUCCUGGAUGAGAAGCUUACCUGGGGCAACACUGAAACUCCCAUGUGACUAAGGCGUAGAUAUUGCCUUCCUUUCUCAAUGCUUUGGUGACCAGCAUCUCCUAGAACUCUGAGGGGCAUUUGAUUUAUC
rnacentral:lncRNA from 1 species